AUGGCCGCCGGACACGCAGCGUUGUCCCAUCAGCACCCCGUCGCCGUUCACGAGUCCACCCCAAACACCACCCUCCGCGCUAGCAGGACCACCGUGCAGCACGUGCUCAAGAUCCAAGAAUAUUCAUGGAUGAGCAAGAGCUUCGACACCGGCAAGGGGCUCUGCUCCAAAUCCUUCUAUGUAGGAGGCACAACUGGAUGGCACAUCGCCUUCUACCCCAACGGCAAUCGCGUGGAGACCGACGACUCCGUCUCCGUCUUCGCCGUUCUUGACGAUGCCGCCGCCGGCCGCGCCGUCGAGGCCGAGAUCGGGUUCGACGUCCUCGACCCAACCACCGGGGAGCCGAUGCCGCGCUACCGUAGACCUGGCGGCGGGGUCAUACGCCGGUUUGCGUGCAUUGGUGCCUUCUGCGGCUAUGAAAAUUUCAUCCGGCUUGAAGAGCUCGAAGAAUUCCUCCUCAAGGAUGACUGUUUCUGGGUCAGGUGCAACAUCACGGUGGUCGAGUUCCUUAGAGACACUGCACCGCCUCCGUGGCCCGUCGUGGCGAUACCACCACCGGACUGGCCCCAACACUUUGGUGACCUCCUGCGGAGCAAGCAGGGCGCAGACGUGAUGCUCGAUGUCGGCGGGGAGACUUUUGCGGCGCACCGGUGCGUGCUCGCGGCGCGGUCGCCGGUAUUCAAGGCCGAGCUUUAUGGCGCGUUGAAAGAGCGCAACACAUACAUACGGAUCGACGACAUGAGAGCUGAGGUGUUCAGGAAUCUGCUGCACUUUGCGUACACCGAUGAGCUUCCGCCGGAGACAAUAGAGGAUGGUGCUGCGAUGGCUCGGGAUCUCUUGAAGGCCGCUGACAGGUACAACAUGGAGAGGCUCAAGCUGGUCUGCGAGGACAGACUGUGGAGUCACAUCGAUGCAAGCACGGCGGCGACCACACUGCUGCUGGCUGAGCAACAUGGCUGUCACCGUCUCAGGGAGGCAUGCUUCGAGUUUCUCCUCAGGUCCUCGACCACACUAAAUGCAGUCAUGGCAACCGACGGCUUCGGCCAUCUGUGUAAAAGCAACCCCGGUCUAUUGAAGGAUAUAUUGUCCAAGCUUGCAACCCACCGAGAUCGCCGGCGAAGAAUUCGACAAUGGGAGGAAGACGACAACCACGAGCUCGUCCUCAGGACAACCGAAGGGGAUAAACUACCUGAACCGACUCACCACAUGCAUCUUGGUUGCUCUAGGAGCAUUGAAACGCACACGUCUUCAAGCAAGACACAUGAUCGUCGAACCCCUAUUCAUCCCGACCUAACUCGUGAUAUUGCUACCUUCAUUUCUUGGUCGUCUAAAAAUUGA
rnacentral:rRNA from 1 species